rnacentral:misc_RNA from 1 species
GUAGAAGUGAGCCUGCUCGCGAUAGCGGUUUGUCAGUCAGCAUGGUGUUGACUGACAAACCGCUAUCGCGAGCAGGCUCACUCCUAC